UACGAGGGGGGCAAGCGUUGUUCGGAAUUAUUGGGCGUAAAGGGUGCGUAGGCGGUGCGGUAAGUCUGUUGUGAAAUCUCCGGGCUCAACUCGGAGUCUGCAUCAGAAACUGCCGUGCUGGAGUGUGGGAGAGGUGAGUGGAAUUCCCGGUGUAGCGGUGAAAUGCGUAGAGAUCGGGAGGAACACCUGCGGCGGAAGCGGCUCACUGGACCAUAACUGACGCUGAUGCACGAAAGCUAGGGGAGCGAAUGGA
rnacentral:rRNA from 1 species